rnacentral:rRNA from 1 species
UUCGUAGGUGAAACUGCGGAGGGAUCA